UCUAAAAUGGCAGAAUAGUGCAUUGGAUUUAAACCCCAAAAAUAAAACAAAAGUUUUUUUUAGAA
rnacentral:tRNA from 1 species